UACGGAGGGUGCAAGCGUUAAUCGGAAUUACUGGGCGUAAAGCGUGCGCAGGCGGUUUGUUAAGUCCGCUGUGAAAUCCUCGAGCUCAACUUGGGAAUUGCAGUGGAUACUGGCAAGCUGGAGUAUGGUAGAGGAAGGUGGAAUUCCCGGUGUAGCAGUGAAAUGCGUAGAGAUCGGGAGGAACACCAGUGGCGAAGGCGGCCUUCUGGACCAAUACUGACGCUCAUGCACGAAAGCGUGGGGAGCAAACAGG
rnacentral:rRNA from 1 species